rnacentral:rRNA from 1 species
UACGGAGGAUCCAAGCGUUAUCCGGAAUCAUUGGGUUUAAAGGGUCCGUAGGCGGUUUAGUAAGUCAGUGGUGAAAGCCCAUCGCUCAACGGUGGAACGGCCAUUGAUACUGCUAGACUUGAAUUAUUAGGAAGUAACUAGAAUAUGUAGUGUAGCGGUGAAAUGCUUAGAGAUUACAUGGAAUACCAAUUGCGAAGGCAGGUUACUACUAAUGGAUUGACGCUGAUGGACGAAAGCGUGGGGAGCGAACAGG